AGACCCGAAACCCGGUGAUCUAGCCAUGGGCAGGUUGAAGGUUGGGUAACACUAACUGGAGGACCGAACCGACUAAUGUUGAAAAAUUAGCGGAUGACUUGUGGCUGGGGGUGAAAGGCCAAUCAAACCGGGAGAUAGCUGGUUCUCCCCGAAAGCUAUUUAGGUAGCGCCUCGUGAAUUCAUCUCCGGGGGUAGAGCACUGUUUCGGCAAGGGGGUCAUCCCGACUUACCAACCCGAUGCAAACUGCGAAUACCGGAGAAUGUUAUCACGGGAGACACACGGCGGGUGCUAACGUCCGUCGUGAAGAGGGAAACAACCCAGACCGCCAGCUAAGGUCCCAAAGUCAUGGUUAAGUGGGAAACGAUGUGGGAAGGCCCAGACAGCCAGGAUGUUGGCUUAGAAGCAGCCAUCAUUUAAAGAAAGCGUAAUAGCUCACUGGUCGAGUCGGCCUGCGCGGAAGAUGUAACGGGGCUAAACCAUGCACCGAAGCUGCGGCAGCGACACUGUGUGUUGUUGGGUAGGGGAGCGUUCUGUAAGCCUGUGAAGGUGUACUGUGAGG
rnacentral:rRNA from 2 species